ACGGCUCAGUAACACGUGGCUAAUCUGCCCUUGGGACUAGAACAUCCCCGGGAAACUGGGGCUAAUUCUUGAUAGGUGAAGAACUCUGGAAUGAGUCUUCGCUUAAAAGACGUUUACGUUAUGCUCGUAGGCGUUGCCCAAGGAUGAGGCCGCGACCGAUCAGGUUGUUGGUGAGGUAAUGGCUCACCAAGCCUUUUACCGGUGCGGGCCGUGAGAGCGGGAGCCCGGAGAUGGGCACUGAGACAAGGGCCCAGGCCCUACGGGGCGCAGCAGUCGCGAAAACUUUGCAAUACACGAAAGUGUGACAGGGCUAUCCCGAGUGCCAUCCGCUGAGGAAGGCUUUUACCCAGUCUAGAACGCUGGGGGAAUAAGGAGAGGGCAAGUCUGGUGUCAGCCGCCGCGGUAAUACCAGCUCUCCGAGUGGUGUGGAUGUUUAUUGGGCCUAAAGCAUCCGUAGCUGGCUAAGUUAGUCCCUUGUUAAAUCCACCGAAUUAAUCGUUGGAUUGCGGGGGAUACUGCUUGGCUAGGGGACGAGAGAGGCAGACGGUAUUUCCGGGGUAGGGGUGAAAUCCUAUAAUCCCGGGAAGACCACCAGUGGCGAAGGCUGUCUGCUAGAACGCGCCCGACGGUGAGGGAUGAAAGCUGGGGGAGCGAACCGGAUUAGAUACCCGGGUAGUCCCAGCUGUAAACGAUGCAGGCUAGGUGUUUGGACGGCCACGUGCCGUUCUAGUGCCGCAGGGAAGCUGUUAAGCCUGCCGCCUGGGGAGUACGAUCGCAAGAUUGAAACUUAAAGGAAUUGGCGGGGGAGCAC
rnacentral:rRNA from 1 species